AGGGAAUCUUCGGCAAUGGGGGCAACCCUGACCGAGCAACGCCGCGUGAGUGAAGAAGGUUUUCGGAUCGUAAAGCUCUGUUGUAAGUCAAGAACGAGUGUGAGAGUGGAAAGUUCACACUGUGACGGUAGCUUACCAGAAAGGGACGGCUAACUACGUGCCAGCAGCCGCGGUAAUACGUAGGUCCCGAGCGUUGUCCGGAUUUAUUGGGCGUAAAGCGAGCGCAGGCGGUUUGGUAAGUCUGAAGUUAAAGGCUGUGGCUCAACCAUAGUUCGCUUUGGAAACUGUCAAACUUGAGUGCAGAAGGGGAGAGUGGAAUUCCAUGUGUAGCGGUGAAAUGCGUAGAUAUAUGGAGGAACACCGGUGGCGAAAGCGGCUCUCUGGUCUGUAACUGACGCUGAGGCUCGAAAGCGUGGGGAGCGGACAGGAUUAGAUACCCUGGUAGUCCACGCCGUAAACGAUGAGUGCUAGGUGUUAGACCCUUUCCGGGGUUUAGUGCCGCAGCUAACGCAUUAAGCACUCCGCCUGGGGAGUACGACCGCAAGGUUG
rnacentral:rRNA from 1 species